rnacentral:rRNA from 1 species
GACGAAGGAUGCAAGCGUUAUCCGGGUUCAUUGGGUUUAAAGGGAGCGUAGGUGGCCUUAUAAGUCAGUGGUGAAAUCUCUGGGCUUAACCCAGAAAUUGCCAUUGAUACUGUAGGGCUUGAGUAUAGAUGCCGUUGGCGGAAUAUGACAUGUAGUGGUGAAAUACAUAGAGAUGUCAUAGAACACCGAUUGCGAAGGCAGCUAACGAAACUAUAACUGACACUGAGGCUCGAAAGUGUGGGGAUCAAACAGG